rnacentral:rRNA from 1 species
CCAAUAGCGUAUAUUAAAGUUGUUGCAGUUAAAAAGCUCGUAGUUGAAUUUCGGGGUUCUUCCGUUGGUCAGGCUAACCAGUCUGUACUAGCGUGUAGAAUUCCUACCUUCUGGGGAACCAUCAUGUUAUUAAUUUAGCGUGGUGGGAAACCAGGACCUUUACCUUGAAAAAAUUAGAGUGUUCAAAGCAGGCUUACGUCUGAAUACAUUAGCAUGGAAUAAUAAAAUAGGACGGUGGUCCUGUUUUGUUGGUUUCUGAAUCACCGUAAUGAUUAAUAGGGAUAGUUGGGGGCAUUAGUAUUCAAUUGUCUGAGGUGAAAUUCUUGGAUUUAUUGAAGACUAACUUCUGCGAAAGCAUUUGCCAAGGAUGUUUUCAUUAAUCAAGAACGAAAGUUAGGGGAUCGAAGACGAUCAGAUACCGUCGUAGUCUUAACCAUAAACUAUGCCGACUAGGGAUCGGACGAUGUUAAAUUUUAUUGACUCGUUCGGCGCCUUACG